rnacentral:rRNA from 1 species
UACGUAGGGUGCGAGCGUUAAUCGGAAUUACUGGGCGUAAAGCGUGCGCAGGCGGUUUUGUAAGCCAGAUGUGAAAGCCCCGGGCUUAACCUGGGAAUGGCAUUUGGGACUGCAAGGCUGGAGUGUGGCAGAGGAGACUGGAAUUCAUGGUGUAGCAGUGAAAUGCGUAGAGAUCAUGAGGAAGACCAGUGGCGAAGGCGGGUCUCUGGACAGUUCCUGACACUGAGACACGAAGGCCAGGGGAGCAAACGGG